CACACCCAAGAAUGCGUGGUCAUUCAGCAAACACCUGCAGGCAUCGAAGUGCUGCUGUUGGUUAUCAUCGCACGACAAAUGGGUGAAUACAGAGGAUGCCUUGAGCCUGAAUCAUAAGGACACUGUCCCUGAACGCUUACUAGGCCAUGGCCACUGCUCCGUCAGCUUGGCCCUGAACUGAGCCAAAGAGAGGGGCUGGUCAGUGAGAACCUGGAACCCCUGUGCUUGGACCUUUUCCCCCAACAAACCCACUAAAAGUGCAACAGUCUUGCUGAGUGGUAGUCGGGGGACUCUUCAGGCCAGAGGAGGGACUGUCAGCGAACUUCCCAUUUCCUGAGUGGCCAAGACUGGAAGACUGGGCUAGAUGCAGAAGGAAAACAUGACCAAGCUUCUGUAGUUCACAAGAAACACUCAAAGGAGUUUUGGAUCGAUGUUGGCAGCCACCACACCGCAGAGGCCACCUUUUGGUUGCUCACCACCAAAGACACUCCUAGCAGAUACACUGCACCGAACGCAACGAGGGGAGAUCUCCAGAACAGCACGGAGUGGAAAAAACAGAACGAGCUCUGUCACACAGUCCUACGGUGCUGGUUAAAACAUACAUAAACCAGGUAGAGGAGGAGAGGGGAAAAUAAGAGGAAACCAGAGAGGGAGACAAACCAUAAGAGACUCUUAUUUCUAGGGAACAAACUGAGGGCUGCUGGAGGGGAGGUGAGUGGGGAUGGGGUAACUGGGUGAUGAGCAUUAAACAGGGCAAUUGAGGGAUCCCUGGGUGGCGCAGCGGUUUGGCGCCUGCCUUUGGCCCAGGGCGCGAUCCUGGAGACCCAGGAUCGAAUCCCACGUCGGGCUCCCGGUGCAUGGAGCCUGCUUCUCCCUCUGCCUAUGUCUCUGCCUCCCUCUCUCAUUCUGUGUGACUAUCAUAAAUAAAUAAAAAUUAAAAAAAAAUAAAAAAUGAACAGGGCAAUUGAGGUUAUGAGCACUGGAUGUUAUAUGGAAGUGAUGGCUCGCUAAACCCUGCUUC